rnacentral:rRNA from 1 species
UACGUAGGGGGCAAGCGUUGUCCGGAAUCAUUGGGCGUAAAGAGCGUGUAGGCGGUCCCGUAAGUCCGCUGUGAAAGUCAAGGGCUCAACCCUUGAAUGCCGGUGGAUACUGUGGGACUAGAGUCCGGAAGAGGCGAGUGGAAUUCCUGGUGUAGCGGUGAAAUGCGCAGAUAUCAGGAGGAACACCGAUGGCGAAGGCAGCUCGCUGGGACGGUACUGACGCUGAGACGCGAAAGCGUGGGGAGCAAACGGG